rnacentral:lncRNA from 1 species
GAGCUCUCCCUUCUGGCCUCCUGACUCCAUUUGAAAUGGAUUUCUGCUUGUUGAUUUUCACAGUGGCUUAAACAACAGAAUAUUUUUCUCACCAUUAUGGAGGCUGGGAAGUCCAAGAUCAAGGUGCCAGCAAGCUCUUGUAAUUUGGACAAUUUCUUCCUCGAACAAGAGUUUGUUGGCUUGUGUACAUCUGUACUGAAAACAUUAGCCUUAAGUGAGGCCAAGAUGGAAAACCACACGGCUGCCUAAGCUCUCUGUAGUAAGCAGAUUGGAAUAUGCCCAUGUGUUCAAGCCCUAAAGGUAACAGGAAGAGGGAGACUACUGAAAAUCAAGCAAAGAGUUUACUGAAGAGAGUAUCCAAGUCUUUUAAAUGAGAGAAUCGGGACUAAGUUUUUAUUUUGUUCUAUGCCCAUGAUAUAAGAAAAUAUACAUGAAUAUGCUAAUUUGUG